CGAAAGCCUGACGGAGCAAUACCGCGUGAGGGAGGAAGGCUCUUGGGUUGUAAACCUCUUUUCUCAGGGAAGAACACAAUGACGGUACCUGAGGAAUCAGCAUCGGCUAACUCCGUGCCAGCAGCCGCGGUAAUACGGAGGAUGCAAGCGUUAUCCGGAAUGAUUGGGCGUAAAGCGUCCGCAGGUGGCUUUGCAAGUCUGCUGUCAAAGCUCAGGGCUUAACCCUGAAUCGGCGGUGGAAACUGAAAGGCUAGAGUGCGGUAGGGGUGGAGGGAAUUCCCAGUGUAGCGGUGAAAUGCGUAGAGAUUGGGAAGAACACCAGUGGCGAAAGCGCUCUGCUAGACCGCAACUGACACUCAUGGACGAAAGCUAGGGGAGCGAAUGGGAUUAGAUACCCCAGUAGUCCUAGCCGUAAACGAUGGAUACUAGGCGUUGAGAGUAUCGACCCUCUCAGUGCCGUAGCUAACGCGUUAAGUAUCCCGCCUGGGGAGUACGCACGCAAGUGUGAAACUCAAAGGAAUUGACGGGGGCCCGCACAAGCGGUGGAGUAUGUGGUUUAAUUCGAUGCAACGCGAAGAACCUUACCAGGACUUGACAUGUCGCGAAUCCUUAGGAAACUAGGGAGUGCCUUCGGGAGCGCGAACACAGGUGGUGCAUGGCUGUCGUCAGCUCGUGUCGUGAGAUGUUGGGUUAAGUCCCGCAACGAGCGCAACCCUCGUGCUUAGUUGCCAUCAUUAAGUUGGGAACUCUAAGCAGACUGCCGGUGACAAACCGGAGGAAGGUGGGGAUGACGUCAAGUCAGCAUGCCCCUUACGUUCUGGGCAACACACGUACUACAAUGCUACGGACAAAGGGCAGCAAGAGUGCGAAUUCAAGCUAAUCUCAUAAACCGUGGCUCAGUUCAGAUCGCAGGCUGCAACUCGCCUGCGUGAAGGCGGAAUCGCUAGUAAUCCCAGAUCAGCACGCUGGGGUGAAUACGUUCCCGGGCCUUGUACACACCGCCCGUCACACCAUGGAAGCUGGCUCUGCCCGAAGUCGUUACCCUAACCCUUGUGGAGGGGGAUGCCGAAGGUGUGGCUGGUGACUGGGGUGAAGUCGUAACAAGGUAGCCGUACCGGAAGGUGUGGCUGGAUCACCUCCUUUAAAGGGAGACCUACCCUGGCUGAUACCGAAACAAAAGAGAUUAGGAUCAACCCAAGGUCAUCCCAGGUCGAGCGAGAUAGGUAAUGCUUGCUUUUAAACUAUAUUCGGUUCGGGAAACUCGCGCUAUCCGUGCGGUAGAGUUCGGUUGUGCCCACUUGGCUACCCCUAUUGGGUUGUUAAAGUAGGGAAGUGCGAUCAAAAGCAUUGCUAAAAAGCAAUUAACUUAAAACUUUAAAUUAAUCGGAUCAACGAAUUCAGCAUCAGGCGAUUAAUAGCUUGAAUGCUGGACAAGUGUCCAGUCUUGAACCUUGAAAACUGCAUAGCAACUUGUCAAAUGUAAUGAGAGCGCAUUAGUCUAUCAGUUUUAGGCUGAUAGAGUAACGCAUCAAUUGCAGGUAGACACCAAUGUUUUAAAAGUGGUCAAGCGAAAAAGGGCUUACGGUGGAUACCUAGGCACACAGAGGCGAAGAAAGACGUGGCAACCGACGAAAAGCUCCCGGGGAGCUGGCAGCAAGCAUUGAACCGGAGGUAUCCGAAUGGGGCAACCUGAUAUACAGCCUGUUGAAUCCAUAGACAGGUAUGAGCCAACCCAGCGAACUGAAACAUCUUAGUAGCUGGAGGAAAAGAAAGCAAAAGCGAUUUCCCAAGUAGUGGUGAGCGAACGGGAACCAGCCUAAACCAGUUGAUAAUUCAACUGGGGUUGUGGGACAGCGACAUGGAAUCUAGACGCUAGACGAAGCAGGUUGAAUACUGCACCAGAGAGAGUGAUAGUCUCGUAGUCGAAAGCGAAAAAGAUACUAGCUGGAUCCCGAGUAGCACGGGACACGAGGAAUCCCGUGUGAAUCUGCGAGGACCAUCUUCGUAAGGCUAAAUACUACUGUGUGACCGAUAGUGAACCAGUACCGCGAGGGAAAGGUGAAAAGAACCCCGGAAGGGGAGUGAAAUAGAACAUGAAACCGUAAGCUUACAAGCAGUGGGAGGACGAUUCAACGUCUGACCGCGUGCCUGUUGAAGAAUGAGCCGGCGACUUAUAAGCACUGGUAGGUUAAGACGAAACGGUUGAAGCCAAAGCGAAAGCGAGUCUGAACAGGGCGCAAUUAAUCAGUGUUUAUAGACCCGAACCCGGGUGAUCUAACCAUGUCCAGGAUGAAGCUUGGGUAACACCAAGUGGAGGUCCGCACCGACCGAUGUUGAAAAAUCGGCGGAUGAGGUGUGGUUAGGGGUGAAAUGCCAAUCGAACCCGGAGCUAGCUGGUUCUCCCCGAAAUGUGUUGAGGCGCAGCGGUAGUGAAUAUAGUCUGGGGGUAAAGCACUGUUUCGAUGCGGGCUGCCUCAAGCGGUACCAAAUCGAGACAAACUCAGAAUACCAGAUGCACACACUACUAGUGAGACGGUGGGGGAUAAGCUUCAUCGUCGAGAGGGAAACAGCCCAGACCACCAGCUAAGGUCCCAAAAUCAUCGCUCAGUGGUAAAGGAGGUGGGAGUGCACAGACAACCAGGAGGUUUGCCUAGAAGCAGCCAUCCUUGAAAGAGUGCGUAAUAGCUCACUGGUCAAGCGCUCCUGCGCCGAAAAUGAACGGGACUAAGCGAUGUACCGAAGCUGUGGAAUACAGAUUGUAUUGGUAGGGGAGCGUUCUGCUGAGAGAGAAGCACUAGCGGCAAGCAGGUGUGGACGAAGCAGAAGUGAGAAUGUCGGCUUGAGUAGCGCAAACAUUGGUGAGAAUCCAAUGCCCCGAAAUCCCAAGGGUUCCUCCGGCAGGCUCGUCCGCGGAGGGUUAGUCAGGUCCUAAGGCGAGGCCGAACGGCGUAGUCGAUGGACAACGGGUCAAAAAUCCCGUACUAAGGGUAAGUAGUGCAGAGGGACGGAGAAGGUAUGUACCAGCCGGAUGUUGGUUACCGGUGCAACUAAUCGAGGCGAUGAGAAGCGGCGAAAACGCUUCGAGCUGGGAUUAGGAGUCCGAACUCCUACGGGAGUGAAGUGGUGGCAAUCAAGCUUCCAAGAAAAGCUCUAAGCACGUUAACUUACACUUACCUGUACCCGAAACCGACACAGGUGGGAAGGUUGAGUAAACUAAGGGGCGCGAGAUAACUCUCUCUAAGGAACUCGGCAACAUGGCCCCGUAACUUCGGAAGAAGGGGUGCCCACGCGAGUGGGUCGCAGUGAAGAGAUCCAGGCGACUGUUUACCAAAAACACAGGUCUCCGCAAAGUCAAAUGACGACGUAUGGGGGCUGACGCCUGCCCAGUGCCGGAAGGUUAAGGAAGUCGGUCAGGGAGAAAUCCUAAAGCUGGCGACUGAAGCCCCGGUGAACGGCGGCCGUAACUAUAACGGUCCUAAGGUAGCGAAAUUCCUUGUCGGGUAAGUUCCGACCCGCACGAAAGGCGUAACGAUCUGGAUGGUGUCUCAGAGAGAGACUCGGCGAAAUAGGAAUGUCUGUGAAGAUACGGACUACCUGCACCAGGACAGAAAGACCCUAUGAAGCUUUACUGUAGCCUGGAAUGGGGUUCGGGCUUUGCUUGCGCAGGAUAGGUGGGAGGCGUUGAACUUGCUCUUGUGGGAGCAAGGGAGCCAACGGUGAGAUACCACUCUGGCGAAGCUAGAAUUCUAACCCGUAGCCGUGAUCCGGCAUGGGAACAGUUUCAGGUGGGCAGUUUGACUGGGGCGGUCGCCUCCUAAAGCGUAACGGAGGCGCGCAAAGGUUCCCUCAGGCUGGUUGGAAAUCAGCCGCAGAGUGUAAAAGCACAAGGGAGCUUGACUGCAAGAGACACAGCUCGAGCAGGUAGGAAACUAGGCUUUAGUGAUCCGACGGCAGUGUAUGGAAGCGCCGUCGCUCAACGGAUAAAAGUUACUCUAGGGAUAACAGGCUGAUCUCCCCCAAGAGUCCACAUCGACGGGGAGGUUUGGCACCUCGAUGUCGGCUCAUCGCAACCUGGGG
rnacentral:sRNA from 1 species